CUGAUGGUUACCUGUAGUAGUCCCUAGCCAGUGGGUCAGUCUGAUGGUUUACAGUAGUAGUCCCUAGCCAGUGAGUCAGUCUGAUGGUUUACUGUAGUAGUCCCUAGCCAGUGGGUCAGUCUGAUGGUUACCUGUAGUAGUCCCAAGCCAGUGAGUCAGUCUGAUGGUUACCUGUAGUAGUCCCAAGCCAGUGAGUCAGUCUGAUGGUUACCUGUAGUAGUCCCUAGCCAGUGAGUCAGUCUGAUGGUUUACAGUAGAAGUCCCUAGCCAGUCAGUCAGACUGAUGGUUACCUGUAGUAGUCCCUAGCCAGUGGGUCAGUCUGAUGGUUACCUGUAUUAGUCCCUAGCCAGUGGGUCAGUCUGAUGGUUACCUGUAGUAGUCCCUAGCCAGUGAGUCAGUCUGAUGGUUACCUGUAGUAGUCCCUAGCCAGUGGGUCAGUCUGAUGGUUUACUGUAGUAGUCCCUAGCCAGUGAGUCAGUCUGAUGGUUACCUGUAGUAGUCCCUAGCCAGUGGGUCAGUCUGAUGGUUUACAGUAGUAGUCCCUAGCCAGUGGGUCAGUCUGAUGGUUUACUGUAGUAGUCCCUAGCCAGUGAGUCAGUCUGAUGUUUACCUGUAGUAGUCCCUAGCCAGUGGGUCAGUCUGAUGGUUUACAGUGUUAGUCCCUAGCCAGUGGGUCAGUCUGAUGGUUUACAGUAGUAGUCCCUAGCCAGUGGGUCAGUCUGAUGGUUUACUGUAGUAGUCCCUAGCCAGUGGUUCAGUCUGAUGGUUUACUGUAGUAGUCCCUAGCCAGUGGUUCAGUCUGAUGGUUUACUGUAGUAGUCCCUAGCCAGUGGGUCAGUCUGAUGGUUUACAGUAGUAGUCCCUAGCCAGUGGGUCAGUCUGAUGGUUUACUGUAGUAGUCCCUAGCCAGUGGUUCAGUCUGAUGGUUUACUGUAGUAGUCCCUAGCCAGUGGUUCAGUCUGAUGGUUUACUGUAGUAGUCCCUAGCCAGUAGGUCAGUCUGAUGGUUUACUGUAGUAGUCCCUAGCCAGUGGUUCAGUCUGAUGGUUUACUGUAGUAGUCCCUAGCCAGUAGGUCAGUCUGAUGGUUUACUGUAGUAGUCCCUAGCCAGUGGUUCAGUCUGAUGGUUUACUGUAGUAGUCCCUAGCCAGUGGUUCAGUCUGAUGGUUUACUGUAGUAGUCCCUAGCCAGUGGUUCAGUCUGAUGGUUU